GAUCCUGGCUCAGAAUCAACGCUGGCGGCGCGCUUAACACAUGCAAGUCGAACGAGAAAGGGAGCAAUCCUGAGUAAAGUGGCGUACGGGUGAGUAACACGUGGGUAAUCCACCCUCUGGUGGGGAAUAACUCUGGGAAACCGGAGCUAAUACCGCAUAAGACCGGGAGGUGAAAGGGCGAAAGUUCGCCGGAGGAGGAGCCCGCGGCUGAUUAGCUAGUUGGUAGGGUAAGAGCCUACCAAGGCUGAGAUCGGUAGCCGGCCUGAGAGGGCACACGGCCACACUGGCACUGAAACACGGGCCAGACUCCUACGGGAGGCAGCAGUGGGGAAUCUUGCACAAUGGGGGCAACCCUGAUGCAGCGACGCCGCGUGAGUGAUGAAGCCCUUCGGGGUGUAAAGCUCUUUCGGCAGGGACGAUAAUGACGGUACCUGAAGAAGAAGCUGCGGCUAACUACGUGCCAGCAGCCGCGGUAAUACGUAGGCAGCGAGCGUUGUUCGGAGUUACUGGGCGUAAAGCGUGCGUAGGCGGUGUCUUAAGUUUGUUGUGAAAUCUCCCGGCUUAACCGGGAGGGUGCGGCGAAUACUGAGAUGCUGGAGUGCGGGAGAGGUAAGCGGAAUUCCUGGUGUAGCGGUGAAAUGCGUAGAUAUCAGGAGGAACACCUGCGGUGUAGACGGCUUACUGGACCGU
rnacentral:rRNA from 1 species